rnacentral:rRNA from 1 species
AUCCUACGGGGGGCAGCAGUGGGGGAUAUUGCACAAUGGGGGAAACCCUGAUGCAGCGACGCCGCGUGAGUGAAGAAGUAUUUCGGUACGUAAAGCUCUAUCAGCAGGGAAGAAAAAUGGCGGUACCUGACUAAGAAGCCCCGGCUAACUACGUGCCAGCAGCCGCGGUAAUACGUAGGGGGCAAGCGUUAUCCGGAUUUACUGGGUGUAAAGGGAGCGUAGACGGCUGUGCAAGUCUGAAGUGAAAUGCCGGGGCCAACCCCGGCA